GUCCCUUUAAUGACAUUAAUUACGCUCAAGUUCUGUUUCUUAACUAAGCAAAGUCAAAAUUUUAUUCUUUAUUAAAAAUGAGCAAAAAAUAGGACAGUAAUUAGGACAGUGCAACGAUAUAGGACGAAAUAGGAGUUCAUUCAGUCGAAGCGAUAAAUUUACCCAUUUUUAAUUUUGGCUGAGAGAAAAAACGUGGGCCGAAAACGUCACAGGAUGUCAGUGGAGGGAUAACUUAAAGGGUAUUAAAUUGCAUUUUAAUUAGGAAAUUACGGUAGAAAAUGUGCAGGUGAAAGAAGAAUGGAUGGAUGGGAAUUGGAAAUGUUAGUACAACAGAAUUUUCUUGUACAUUGAACCAAUUCACUGAGGAAAUCGCAUGAUGUCUGCUACAUAAGCUGUAAUGAGACCUGACCUGAACAGCGCAAUUUAUCUGAAAAUUUCUCCAUGUUUCAUAAAAAACGGGGCAAUUUAAUUUUACUCUGAUAUUCUAAGCUUUAAAAUUUCUUGAAAGCCACCUAUAAGUACCGUUGAUAAUAAUCUGAACCACAAAA